rnacentral:rRNA from 1 species
UACGUAGGGUGCAAGCGUUUGCUCGGAAUUAUUGGGGCGUAAAGGGCAGGUAGGUGGUCUUAUUUGUCUAGGGUGAAAUCCCCGGAGCUUAACUUCGGAAGUGCCUUAGAAAACGGUAAGACUAGAGUCCUAGAGAGGUUUUGUGGAAUUCCCGGUGUAGCGGUGAAAAUGCGUAGAGAUCGGGAGGAAUACCAGCAGCGAAGGCGGCAAACUGGAUAG